GACGAACGCUGGCGGCGUGCUUAACACAUGUAAGUCGAGCGGUAAGGCCCUUUCGGGGGUACACGAGCGGCGAACGGGUGAGUAACACGUGGGUGACCUGCCCUCAGCUCUGGGAUAAGCCUGGGAAACCGGGUCUAAUACUGGAUAUGACUCCAUGACGCAUGUUGUGGGGUGGAAAGCCUUGUGCGGCUGAGGAUGGGCCCGCGGCCUAUCAGCUUGUUGGUGGGGUGAUGGCCACCAAGGCGACGACGGGUAGCCGGCCUGAGAGGGCGACCGGCCACACUGGGACUGAGACACGGCCCAGACUCCUACGGGAGGCAGCAGUGGGGAAUCUUGCGCAAUGGGCGAAAGCCUGACGCAGCGACGCCGCGUGAGGGAUGACGGCCU
rnacentral:rRNA from 1 species